CACUCCUACGGGAGGCAGCAGUGGGGAAUUUUGGACAAUGGGCGAAAGCCUGAUCCAGCAAUGCCGCGUGUGUGAAGAAGGCCUUCGGGUUGUAAAGCACUUUUGUCCGGAAAGAAAUCCUUGGCUCUAAUACAGUCGGGGGAUGACGGUACCGGAAGAAUAAGCACCGGCUAACUACGUGCCAGCAGCCGCGGUAAUACGUAGGGUGCGAGCGUUAAUCGGAAUUACUGGGCGUAAAGCGUGCGCAGGCGGUUUGCUAAGACCGAUGUGAAAUCCCCGGGCUCAACCUGGGAACUGCAUUGGUGACUGGCAGGCUAGAGUAUGGCAGAGGGGGGUAGAAUUCCACGUGUAGCAGUGAAAUGCGUAGAGAUGUGGAGGAAUACCGAUGGCGAAGGCAGCCCCCUGGGCCAAUACUGACGCUCAUGCACGAAAGCGUGGGGAGCAAACAGGAUUAGAAACCCGUGUAGUCCCAUG
rnacentral:rRNA from 1 species